CGCUAGCUAACCGCUAAUCGCUAGCUACGUGCUAAUCGCUAGCUACAUGCUAAUCGCUAGCUAAGCGCUAAUCGCUAGCUAAGUGCUAGCUUUGGUUAAUGUGUUUAAUUGUGUUAUGCUCCUGAAGGAGUGCUAAUGUAAAUUAAGGAACAGCUCAUAGUAGGGUAAAAUAUUUAAGGUGUAUUGUUCUUAUUUUGUGUUAAUAUUAAAAUCAUUCAGCUUUAAAUUGUUUGCUUGUUAGCCACCUGCUAAUUAUCUUUAGCUAGCUAGCGCUAGCUUAUUAAUGUCUUGUCAUUCUCUGUAGCUAGCUGUGUGUGUGUGUGUGUGUGUGUGUGUGUGUGUGAGCAGGCUUUGGUUGUCAUGGCAAUCAGGGGAGCCCACAGCAGCUGCGCACGCUCUCUCUCUGUCUCUAACUCCUCAGAGAGACAGAAAACAUUUAAAAUGAAUCCCCUCAAAAGCAUGGCCAGGAACGACCGAAAUGAAAACCGAAAAGACCGUGAGCGUCGUCAUCUUGUUGACUAUAGCACUGCCGAGUUUCAGUGGCUAAAGUUAAAAAAUGUGACCUGGGGAGAUUGAGAGAGAAGAGGUUCAACGAGCGUUUUUCAAGAAUCCUCCUCUCCAUUUUAACAUGGGAGUAGAUGGGGCCAUGAGAGGGAGUUGCUGGCGCAUCAGUGCGUCUCCCGCCAAAACUAUUUGUCUGACCGCUUCAGCAGUGGUAUCACUGCGACCCCAACGAAUUUACCUACGUUUCUAUCUAUAAAUUAUUUCGGUAGAGUGAAAUUUGUGGCCAUGACAGCAGUUUACAAAUUUAUUUUUCGACAAAUUUUUCUCUCUCCCCACACUCUAGCGAUGAUGUCACGCACUCUGGCGGUUUUUUUCAGUUGGAGGUUCUCGCAAUACACACCCAUUCAUUUUUUGGACCGGUUUUCGGCGAUUUACCGGCAAACCGUUUGGCGGAAUUCUUAGAAAAGUCAUAGCACUCGAUUCCCGGCCGAGCCGCACGUUUUGAUACCUUUUUUGUGUAUGUGCGACAAAAGCUCCGGGAGGAGUAGCGCGCCGAAAAACGUACGGAAGAAUAAUAAGAAAACCUAGAAAAUUCCUAAAGCAAUUUUGAUUGUGCCUUGCUCUGGCCCAUAUGUUAAUACCAUGUCUACGUGCUAACCGCUAAUCGCUAGCUGUGCGCUAAUCGCUAGCUAAGUGCUAACCGCUAAUCGCUAGCUAAGUGCUAGCUUUGGUUAAGGUGUUUAAUUGUGUUAUUCUCCUGAAGGAGUGCUAAUGUAAAUUAAGGAACAGCUCAUAGUAGGGUAAAAUAUUUAAGGUGUAUUGUUCUUAUUUUGUGUUAAUAUUAAAAUCAUUCAGCUUUAAAUUGUUUGUUUGUUAGCCACCUUCUAAUUAUCUUUAGCUAGCCAGCUAGCGCUAGAUUAUUAAUGCCAUGUAAUCCUCCCUAUAGCAUAUUGAUAACCUGUCAUCCUCCUUAGCUAGCGCUAGCAUAUUAAUAUCAUGUCAUUCUCUUUAGCUAGCUAGCUAGAGCUAGCACACAUAAACACAUAAACCAAAGGUAGCGCUUAGCUACGUGCUAAUCGCUAGCUAACCGCUAAUCGCUAGCUACAUGCUAAUCGCUAGCUACAUGCUAAUCGCUAGCUAAGCGCUAAUCGCUAGCUAAGUGCUAGCUUUGGUUAAUGUGUUUAAUUGUAUUAUGCUCCUGAAGGAGUGCUAAUGUAAAUUAAGGAACAGCUCAUAGUAGGGUAAAAUAUUUAAGGUGUAUUGUUCUUAUUUUGAGUUAAUAUUAAAAUCAUUCAGCUUUAAAUUGUUUGCUUGUUAGCCGCCUGCUAAUUGUCUUUAGCUAGCCAGCUAGCGCUAGCUUAUUAAGGUCUUGUCAUUCUCUGUAGCUAGCUUGUGUGUGUGUGUGUGUGUGUGUGUGUGUGU